rnacentral:misc_RNA from 1 species
GACGAGAUCAACGUCAUUCUCAACGACGGCACCAAGAUCAAGGCCGAACUGAUCGGCAAGGACAAGAAGAGCGAUCUCGCUGUCCUGAAGUUUACGCCGCCGGAGAAGAAGAUCACCGCGGUGAAGUUCGGCAAUUCCGACAGCCUGCGUCUCGGCGAGUGGGUGAUAGCCAUCGGCAACCCGUUCAGCCUCGGCGGCACGGUGACGGCCGGCAUCGUGUCGGCACGCAACCGCGACAUCAAUUCCG